rnacentral:rRNA from 1 species
AUUGAACGCUGGCGGCAGGCCUAACACAUGCAAGUCGAACGAGUGGCGGACGGGUGAGUAAUAUCUGGGAACCUGCCUGAUGGAGGGGGAUAACUACUGGAAACGGUAGCUAAUACCGCAUACCAUCAGCUGUGCCCAGAUGGGAUUAGCUUGUUGGUGGGGUAACGGCUCACCAAGGCUACGAUCCCUAGCUGGUCUGAGAGGAUGACCAGCCACACUGGAACGUAGACACGGUCAAGACUCCAACGUGAGGCAGACGGGGGGAAUAUUGCACAAUGGGCGCAAGACUGAUGCAGCCAUGCCGCGGUUAUGAAGAAGGCCGUCGGGUUGUAAAGUACUUUCAGCGGGGAGGCGUUACCCGCAGAGGAAGCACCGGCUAACUCCGUGCCAGCAGCCGCGGUAAUAC